rfam:Ictidomys tridecemlineatus contig093883, whole genome shotgun sequence.
UGUGUUGUAGCUCAGUGGCAGAGCGCUUGCCUCACAUGUGUGAGGCGCUGGGUUCCAUCCUCAGCAUCGCAU